GAUGAACGCUGGCGGCGUGCCUAAUACAUGCAAGUCGAGCGAACAGACGAGGAGCUUUCUCCUCUGACGUUAGCGGCGGACGGGUGAGUAACACGUGGAUAACCUACCUAUAAGACUGGGAUAACUUCGGGAAACCGGAGCUGAUACCGGAUAAUAUAUUGAACCGCAUGGUUCAAUAGUGAAAGACGGUUUUGCUGUCACUUAUAGAUGGAUCCGCGCCGCAUUAGCUAGUUGGUAAGGUAACGGCUUACCAAGGCAACGAUGCGUAGCCGAUCUGAGAGGGUGAUCGGCCACACUGGAACUGAGACACGGUCCAGACUCCUACGGGAGGCAGCAGUAGGGAAUCUUCCGCAAUGGGCGAAAGCCUGACGGAGCAACGCCGCGUGAGUGAUGAAGGUCUUCGGAUCGUAAAACUCUGUUAUUAGGGAAGAACAAAUGUGUAAGUAACUAUGCACGUCUUGACGGUACCUAAUCAGAAAGCCACGGCUAACUACGUG
rnacentral:rRNA from 1 species